rnacentral:rRNA from 1 species
GUCGAACGCAGUAGCAAUACUGAGUGGCAAACGGGUGAGUAUAAUGUGGGAAUCUGCCUUUUGGUUUGGAAUAACACGGGGAAACUUGUGCUAAUACCGAAUAAGCCCUUACGGGGAAAGUUUUAACGCCGAAAGAUGAGCCUGCACUUGAUUAGCUAGUUGGUAAGGUAAAGGCUUACCAAGGCAAUGAUCAAUAGCUGUUCUUAGAGGAAGACCAGCCACAUUGGGACUGAGACACGGCCCAGACUCCUACGGGAGGCAGCAGUGGGGAAUCUUGCACAAUGGGGGAAACCCUGAUGCAGCGAUGCCGCGUGAGUGAAGAAGGCCCUUGGGUUGUAAAACUCUUUCGUCGGGGAAGAAAAUGACUGUACCCGAAUAAGAAGGUCCGGCUAACUUCGUGCCAGCAGCCGCGGUAAUACGAAGGGACCUAGCGUAGUUCGGAAUUACUGGGCUUAAAGAGCUCGUAGGUGGUUAAAAAAGUUGAUGGUGAAAUCCCAAGGCUUAACCUUGGAACUGCCAUCAAAACUUUUUAGCUAGAGUGUGAUAGAGGUAAGUGGAAUUUCUAGUGUAGAGGUGAAAUUCGUAGAUAUUAGAAAGAACACCAAAUGCGAAGGCAACUUACUGGGUCACUACUGACACUGAGGAGCGAAAGCAUGGGUAGCGAAGAGGAUUAGAUACCCUCGUAGUCCAUGCCGUAAACGAUGUGUGCUAGACGUUGGAAAUUUAUUUUUCAGUGUCGCAGCGAAAGCAUUAAGCACUCGCCUGGGGAGUACGACCGCAAGGUUAAAACUCAAAUGAUUUGACGGGGACCCGCACAAGCAGUGGGAGCAUGUGGUUUAAUUCGAA